UACCUGGGCGCCGAUUCAGCUUCUUCGUCCCUCUCCCUCUCUCUCGACGAUCAACAGCAGCGACGGUCCUUCCGCUCUCUGCUUCAAUCUCUCUUCGUGUUCGAUGGCGGCGAUAUCUUCAAAUCCCCGGUGAAUCCAUGUUCCGAUUACCUCGCUAAUUCCUUCUUCUCGCUCUUUGAUCUCUCUUACUUUGGGAUGGAGUCGCAGUGACCUGAGGUUGCGAAGAUGAUGAUUUGGGCGUUGAGGAUGAAGCUGAUGCGUUGUGAUUUACAAAAGGCGAUGGCGGUCAUUGUGUUGCCAGGACUUUGAAGUUGUUGACGUGAUUCUUGUGAUGCAACGAUUGGGAUACUCUGAGAAGUAGACUCAGAAAGAUCGAAGAAUUCUAAUGAAGAAUCGCGGCGAGGAAUUGAUGAAGACGAUGAUAACGGAAGAAGAUUCGCUCAGUGUUGCUGCGUGAGUUGGUUGAGGUGAAACUGAAGAAGUUUGUGGAGAGAGUUUGGUGAAUUGUGGAAGUGAAGAGAUGAUGAUGGUGACGCAAGGAUGAGAAGAAGAUGGAGAUGGUGAAUUGUUGAAGAUGGAGAGAAGAAUGUGAAGAAGAAGAUGAAGAUGAAGGUUGUGAUGUGGUGGAAAUGAUCGUGGAGAUGUGAAGAGAGAGCUCAAGGUAGUGAAGACUCAAGUAUAUAUAGGUUAUUGCUAAUAACAUAAGGCUGCUGAUUUGUUAUUUGAAUGCAGGGUUAAUGGCUGCAUUUUUCUAGUCUGUUGGUGAGUUGCUGAAGCAUUGAUGUGAAAAUAUGAACAUGAUUUGGAAUAGAUGCUGCUUGGGACAGUUUGAUAGGUGUUUGAAUUUGUGAUAAUUAGGCUGUAGAUUGGAUGCAUAAACCGUGCAGUCAGACUAGAAUUGAUGCCGUACGCGACUUAUCCGCCGUACAUUGAAAUGAAUCGGUUUUGUGAGCUUUGUUCAAAACUGUCUGAAGUUGUUAACAGGUUCUGGCCCAGUUUGAAACAUGGUGUGGAAAAAGAAUGAUUUCUCUUUAAUGUAUCAUACAGCCAGCUAGAACCAGGGUGAAACAGAGUGGACUUUUGACUUGGAGGCGACUUGGAGGCUUGAAGAAAUGAAGGGAAAUAGGUUUUUUAGGAUAAUGUUGACUUUGGUCAAUCGGUUGUAAUCUUUUGUAUCUCUUUUGUAAUGGAAUUGUAUUUUUUGUAAUGGAUAUUUGAGGUGUUAUGGAAUGUAU